GGCUGCCAAAGCACCUCCCCAGCACCAGCAGGGACCUGCCUCACGACCUCUAUGGGGCGUAUCCCCACGGCAGGAGGAGAGGACAUGGGGGCUGUUGAGAGACACUAACGGCACUGAAAUUAGGAAUGGAAAGUUAAAGGAAGAAAAAAGGGAAGCUGAAGGAGAACUUCAGUUACUCUUCAGAGCCAGGGGAAGGAGUCAGCCUGUUACACAGCCUUUACUCCGCUGCUGUUAAGCUCUACCCACUGAACAAGUCUAAUGAGUAAUUAUCAGUACGUGUCAGCUGUUACUUCAGUCCAGGCAACAUCUACCUUUAGAAAACAUCUGGUUUUCCUCUGAAGCUCUAAGUGCUAUAGUUAACGUAUCAGUAUUUAAUUCUUCUUCUUUUUUGUUUCUAAAUCUUCAACCUGUUCCAUGAAUACCGUGUUAGUGAUACACAUAAAAAUGAAACUCAGCAGUCCAAAAUUACUAUAGAUUAACUAACUUCUCCUUCCCGUGUUCUUCCCCAGCCCCAGAGCCCUGCCUUGCACUGCUUCAUUGUACUGGCUCAAAGUAAACUGAAUAGAAGUUGCAACAUCUUAGCACAUUUCACAUAAGGAGAUUCCUGGCACAUGCUGAAAUGCAUCUAUUUUAAUGGGAUUUUGGGAGGAGGUGCCUGUGUCAAUAGUGACUGGGGCGUCUCAACAAGAGAAAAAGAAGACAAAACCUCCUGGGAAGAGAUGCAAUCAACUUGUUGAAGCUUUCAGAUCUCAGAGCAUCCUGUAUUUUAUUUACAGCUCCUCUGUGACUAAAUACUAUUUUCUAAUUAUUGUAUUGUGUUUUUUUCAGUUGGGCUCCUUAUUCUUCCUUCGAAGCAACGUGACCACAUAGUAAACUGUUUUUGAGGAGCGUUUGCUGUUUGAGGUUAGAAGCUGAAACCACAGAGUUCCUUAUCUUGUCUUUCUGCAGCUGUUUUUACAUGAGCUAGCAGGGCAAACCAGCAAAGCACUACCAACCAAAACCUUCUUUUUCCCCUCUCCCCACCCAUAUUUUCAAGGCUACGUGAGGAGAGGUCUCCUGCAGGACACAGGUGCUGGCUCUGCUUGGUUUUAUUGUCUGCAGACCAGUUGUUCCUCGCUGUGACAACGUACCCAGCCACUGCAGGCAUCCUCAGGAAGACAACACAAACGCUGCCUCCUGUGCUCCCUCCGACAUGUUCGUCACGUUGAACCAGCUCUGUAGGAAUAAAUGGCAAAAAAUCUGCCCUGGAGUACUGGGAGGCUGAGGAGGACACAGUGAGCACUGGAGCUGGGGCAUGUUGUGACCAAGAGCAAGUCAAGAGCUCACAACUGACCGGGUAGCUUCAUCUUCUCCUAGAUUCAGGUGAUGUGAUUUUUCUAGCAGUAAAUGAUCUCCUUGAUUGAUGGAUUGAAUUCUGAGCGAAAACAUUUGUAGUAUUGAACCACAACUGGCGCUCAUUAUUUGCACUCAGCCGCCAGCAAAUUGCAUGGAGAUUUUGCCUGAGAAACAGAACUAGCUUCAGUAUCUGGAGACCCAUCUUGAAAACACAGCACUGAAAUGACCUGGGUUUAGUGCUGGCCCUCAGAGACUCUGGCUUUGUUCUUGAAUAAGACGGCCAAGGGGGCUGUGUUUAGACCAAUGCUUCCUUCCGGCAGAAGCUGUUUCCGAAUUACUUGUUGAGCUUCAUGCGAGCCCAGGCAGCUUCACCUCAGUGGGUGACUUCUCCCAGUUGCUCAGCCCUUACCUCAAAGUCUAAUCUGAACACUGCUCCUCCUUCAGCGCCAGACCAUUGCUCCUCACCUGCCACGUCCAUAGAGCACAGCAACAGCCUUCCUUCGUUUCUGUACUGGUACCUGUCACUAAAAGCUGUUCCCAUCCUCUCCCCACUCACUUCUUCCCAGAGAGCACCCUUAGUGACCCCAGAAGUUGCUUGCACAGUAGUGCUUAGGUAUGUUCUAUGUAUUAGAGCUAGAUUUUUGUAUGCCUUUCCUAAAUACUGAAGGUCAAAAUCACAAACUGCAUCUCAGGUUGUCCUUUACAGCUUCAUUAAC